UUCCAGACUCCUACGGGAGGCAGCAGUGAGGAAUAUUGGUCAAUGGGCGGGAGCCUGAACCAGCCAAGUCGCGUGAGGGAUGACGGCCCUAUGGGUUGUAAACCUCUUUUGCCGGGGAGCAAAGUGCCGCACGUGUGCGGUUUGGAGAGUACCCGGAGAAACAGCUCCGGCUAACUACGUGCCAGCAGCCGCGGUAAUACGUAGGGAGCGAGCGUUGUCCGGAAUUACUGGGUGUAAAGGGAGCGUAGGCGGGACGGCAAGUCAGAUGUGAAAACUGAGGGCUCAACUUUCAGACUGCAUUUGAAACUGCUGUUCUUGAGUGAAGUAGAGGUAAGCGGAAUUCCUAGUGUAGCGGGGAAAUGCGUAGAUAUUAGGAGGAACAUCGGUGGCGAAGGCGGCUUACUGGGCUUUUACUGACGCUGAGGCUCGAAAGCGUGGGGAGCAAACAGGAUUAGAUACCCUAGUAC
rnacentral:rRNA from 1 species